AUCGAACGCUGGCGGCAGGCCUAACACAUGCAAGUCGAACGAGUGGCGGACGGGUGAGUAAUGCCUGGGAAACUGCCUGUUGGAGGGGGAUAACCACUGGAAACGGUAGCUAAUACCGCAUUCCCUCCGUUGUGCCCAGAUGGGAUUAGCUAGUUGGGGGGGUAAUGGCUCACAAAGGCGACGAUCCCCAGCUGGUCUGAGAGGAAGACCGGCCACACUGGAACUGAGAAACGGUCCAAACUCCUAGGGGGGCAGGCGGUGGGGAAUAUUGCACAAUGGGCGCAGGCCGGAUGCAGCCAUGCCGCGUGUAUAAAGAAGGCCUUCGGGUUGUAAAGUACUUUCAGCGGGGAGGCGUUACCCGCAGAGGAAGCACCGGCUAACUCCGUGCCAGCAGCCGCGGUAAUAC
rnacentral:rRNA from 1 species